rnacentral:rRNA from 1 species
GACGAACCGUGCGAACGUUGUUCGGAAUCACUGGGCUUAAAGGGCGCGUAGGCGGGCCGCCGCGUCCGGGGUGAAAUCCUCCCGCUCAACGGGAGAACGGCCUCGGAUACGGGCGGCCUGGAGGGGGGUAGGGGCAGGCGGAACUGUGGGUGGAGCGGUGAAAUGCGUUGAGAUCCACAGGAACUCCGGUGGCGAAGGCGGCCUGCUGGACCCCACCUGACGCUGAGGCGCGAAAGCCAGGGGAGCGAACGGG